rnacentral:ribozyme from 1 species
UUUUUUUUUUUUUUUUUUUUUUUUUUUUUUUUCUUGUCC